GAUGAACGCUGACAGAAUGCUUAACACAUGCAAGUCGACUCGAGUCUUCGGACUUGGGUGGCGCACGGGUGAGUAACGCGUAAAGAACUUGCCUCUUAGACCGGGACAACAUCUGGAAACGGAUGCUAAUACCGGAUAUUAUGGUCUUUUCGCAUGGAGGAAUCAUGAAAGCUAGAUGCGCUAAGAGAGAGCUUUGCGUCCCAUUAGCUGGUUGGUGAGGUAACGGCCCACCAAGGCAAUGAUGGGUAGCCGGCCUGAGAGGGUGAACGGCCACAAGGGGACUGAGACACGGCCCUUACUCCUACGGGAGGCAGCAGUGGGGAAUAUUGGACAAUGGACCGCAAGUCUGAUCCAGCAAUUCUGUGUGCACGAUGACGUUUUUCGGAAUGUAAAUUGCUUUCAGUCGGGAAUAAGUCAGUGACGGUACCGACAGAAGAAUCGACGGCUAAAUACGUGCCAGCAGCCGCGGUAAUACGUAUGUCGCAAGCGUUAUCCGGAUUUAUUGGGCGUAAAGCGCGUCUAGGCGGCAAUGAAAGUCUGAUUUUAAUAUGCGGAGCUCAUCUCCUUAUGGCGUUGGAUAUUGCCUUACUAGAGUAUUGGUGAGGUAGUGGAACUACAAUUUGUAGAUGGUGAAAUUUGUUAUUUUUGUAGGAUGCCGAUUGGGAAAUCAGCCUUCUGGUUGUAUUCUGAUGCUUAUGUUCGUAUGCUUUUGUUUCUAUAGU
rnacentral:rRNA from 1 species